rnacentral:rRNA from 1 species
GCAGUCGAGCGGACAGAUGGGAGCUUGCUCCCUGAUGUUAGCGGCGGACGGGUGAGUAACACGUGGGUAACCUGCCUGUAAGACUGGGAUAACUCCGGGAAACCGGGGCUAAUACCGGAUGGUUGUUUGAACCGCAUGGUUCAGACAUAAAAGGUGGCUUCGGCUACCACUUACAGAUGGACCCGCGGCGCAUUAGCUAGUUGGUGAGGUAACGGCUCACCAAGGCGACGAUGCGUAGCCGACCUGAGAGGGUGAUCGGCCACACUGGGACUGAGACACGGCCCAGACUCCUACGGGAGGCAGCAGUAGGGAAUCUUCCGCAAUGGACGAAAGUCUGACGGAGCAACGCCGCGUGAGUGAUGAAGGUUUUCGGAUCGUAAAGCUCUGUUGUUAGGGAAGAACAAGUGCCGUUCAAAUAGGGCGGCACCUUGACGGUACCUAACCAGAAAGCCACGGCUAACUACGUGCCAGCAGCCGCGGUAAUACGUAGGUGGCAAGCGUUGUCCGGAAUUAUUGGGCGUAAAGGGCUCGCAGGCGGUUUCUUAAGUCUGAUGUGAAAGCCCCCGGCUCAACCGGGGAGGGUCAUUGGAAACUGGGGAACUUGAGUGCAGAAGAGGAGAGUGGAAUUCCACGUGUAGCGGUGAAAUGCGUAGAGAUGUGGAGGAACACCAGUGGCGAAGGCGACUCUCUGGUCUGUAACUGACGCUGAGGAGCGAAA